rnacentral:misc_RNA from 1 species
AAGUCGUAACAAGGUUUCCGUAGGUGAACCUGCGGAAGGAUCAUUACUAAAGAUUCAUUCUUUAACCCAUCUUGUGAACUGUUUUACCCCUUCGGCACUUCGGUGUUGUUGGGCCCCUUUACUCAACCUAUUUUAAUUUUUAUAACUACUUAAUGUAUUUUAAUUUAAUACAACUUUCAGCAACGGAUCUCUAGGCUCUU